rnacentral:rRNA from 1 species
GACGUAGGGCGCGAGCGUUGUCCGGAUUUAUUGGGCGUAAAGAGCUCGUAGGCGGCUUGUCGCGUCGGCUGUGAAAACCCGAGGCUCAACUUCGGGCUUGCAGUCGAUACGGGCGGACUGGAGUUCGGCAGGGGAGACUGGAAUUCCUGGUGUAGCGGCGAAAUGCGCAGAUAUCAGGAGGAACACCGGUGGCGAAGGCGGGUCUCUGGGCCGAUACUGACGCUGAGGAGCGAAAGCGUGGGGAGCGAACAGG